GAGAACAAAGAGCAUUCAUCCAGCCAGGGGGGAGUCAAGAUCAAUAGUUAAGUACCAGAAACUUCACUGAGGCCAAAUGCCACCAUAUAGCCUUUGUCAGAGGUGAACAGAGUUCAUGGAACUGUCAAACUAGUGAUACACCACAGAACACAAGCUGUAACAGCUAUGAGUAGAAUUCAAUGAAAAGGAAAGCUUAGUUGCUGUGGAUAAAAAUGGAACAGGUUCUAGAGUUAAGAAAGAAGACUAGCAUGGCUGUCCUCUGAGAGGUUCUAGCAGCAUCUGACUGAGGCAGAUGCAGACCCUCAUCAUGAAGACGGUGAUGAUAAUCCUAUAAGAAGACCAAUAGUGUCAGUGAACCUGGACUGCUGGGUGCUCUCAGAGACUAAGCCACCAACCAAAGAGUAUAUGCAUGGGCUGGUCUAAGAACCCUGGCACAUAUGUAACAGAGUGCUGUCUUCUCUGGUUGAAGGAGGAGAAAAUGUGACUUGAUGCCGCAGAAUGGGGAGAUGCCAUGAGGGUACAUUCUCAGAGGCAAAGCUAGCAAGAAUGUCAAAGAAAUCUGUGAGGGGGGACCAUGAAGGGGGUAACAUGUGGCUUGUAAAUAAAUAAAAUAAUUAAUAAAAAUGAGAAAAAAGAUAUCCUAUGACAAAAUCAAUUUAAAUAGUAUUUAUCUACAAAUCCAGCCUUAUAGAUGGUGCCAGAAAGAAAAUUCAAACUUAAAAGAGUCAACUGAACCCAUGA